GGAGGGGAUUGAGGAAUUGCUCUCCGCCAACUGGCGGGGAGAGGAAAGUCCGGACUCCGUAGAACAGGGUGAUGGCUAACGGCCACCGCUCCGACUUAACUGCCGUCAUGCAGGCGUUAUGUCGGAGUAGGGAAAGUGCCACAGAAAAAAUACGGCCUAUUUUAACCCUAAAGGUUAAAAGGCAAAGGUGAAAAGGUGCGGUAAGAGCGCACCGCUCUGAUAGUGAUAUCAGAGGCAGGGCAAACCCCACCCGGAGCAAGGUCCAAGAUAAAAGAUUCGUCCCAGAUAAAAGGAACGAAACGGGAUUGUUCGUCCCGUCACUAUUUUUAAGGUUGACCGCUUGACCCCGCAAGUAAUUUCGGGGCUAGAAAAAUAAUUCCUUUAUCCCGUAAGAUAGGGAUAAACAGAAUCCGGCUUACUAAUCCCCUUCUGUU
rnacentral:RNase_P_RNA from 1 species